rnacentral:rRNA from 1 species
CUUCCGGAGCUAACGCGUUAAGUAGACCGCCUGGGGAGUACGGCCGCAAGGUUAAAACUCAAAUGAAUUGACGGGGGCCCGCACAAGCGGUGGAGCAUGUGGUUUAAUUCGAUGCAACGCGAAGAACCUUACCUGGUCUUGACAUCCACAGAACUUUCCAGAGAUGGAYUGGUGCCUUCGGGAACUGUGAGACAGGUGCUGCAUGGCUGUCGUCAGCUCGUGUUGUGAAAUGUUGGGUUAAGUCCCGCAACGAGCGCAACCCUUAUCCUUUGUUGCCAGCGAUUAGGUCGGGAACUCAAAGGAGACUGCCAGUGAUAAACUGGAGGAAGGUGGGGAUGACGUCAAGUCAUCAUGGCCCUUACGACCAGGGCUACACACGUGCUACAAUGGCGCAUACAAAGAGAAGCGACCUCGCGAGAGCAAGCGGACCUCAUAAA